rnacentral:rRNA from 1 species
GACGAACGCUGGCGGCGUGCCUAAUACAUGCAAGUAGAACGCUGAAGAGAGGAGCUUGCUCUUCUUGGAUGAGUUGCGAACGGGUGAGUAACGCGUAGGUAACCUGCCUGGUAGCGGGGGAUAACUAUUGGAAACGAUAGCUAAUACCGCAUAAUAGUAGAUGUUGCAUGACAUUUGCUUAAAAGGUGCAAUUGCAUCACUACCAGAUGGACCUGCGUUGUAUUAGCUAGUUGGUGAGGUAACGGCUCACCAAGGCAACGAUACAUAGCCGACCUGAGAGGGUGAUCGGCCACACUGGGACUGAGACACGGCCCAGACUCCUACGGGAGGCAGCAGUAGGGAAUCUUCGGCAAUGGACGGAAGUCUGACCGAGCAACGCCGCGUGAGUGAAGAAGGUUUUCGGAUCGUAAAGCUCUGUUGUAAGAGAAGAACGAGUG